GAAACUGCGAAUGGCUCAUUAAAUCAGUUAUCGUUUAUUUGAUAGUACCUUACUACAUGGAUACCUGUGGUAAUUCUAGAGCUAAUACAUGCUGAAAACCCCGACUUCGGAAGGGGUGUAUUUAUUAGAUAAAAAACCAACGCCCUUCGGGGCUCCUUGGUGAAUCAUAAUAACUUAACGAAUCGCAUGGCCUUGCGCCGGCGAUGGUUCAUUCAAAUUUCUGCCCUAUCAACUUUCGAUGGUAGGAUAGUGGCCUACCAUGGUGGCAACGGGUAACGGGGAAUUAGGGUUCGAUUCCGGAGAGGGAGCCUGAGAAACGGCUACCACAUCCAAGGAAGGCAGCAGGCGCGCAAAUUACCCAAUCCCGAUACGGGGAGGUAGUGACAAUAAAUACUGAUACGGGGCUCUUUUGGGUCUCGUAAUUGGAAUGAGAACAAUUUAAAUCCCUUAACGAGGAACAAUUGGAGGGCAAGUCUGGUGCCAGCAGCCGCGGUAAUUCCCGCUCCAAUAGCGUAUAUUAAAGUUGUUGCAGUUAAAAAGCUCGUAGUUGAACCUUGGGUCUGGCUGGCCGGUCCGCCUCAC
rnacentral:rRNA from 1 species